rnacentral:rRNA from 1 species
UAACGCGAAGAACCUUACCUGGGUUUGACAUACGCCGGAAAGCCUCAGAGAUGAGGCCCCUUUAUUGUCGGUGUACAGGUGGUGCAUGGCUGUCGUCAGCUCGUGUCGUGAGAUGUUGGGUUAAGUCCCGCAACGAGCGCAACCCUCGUCCUAUGUUGCCAGCACGUCCUUCGGGAUGGUGGGGACUCAUAGGAGACUGCCGGGGUCAACUCGGAGGAAGGUGGGGAUGACGUCAAGUCAUCAUGCCCCUUAUGUCCAGGGCUUCACGCAUGCUACAAUGGCCGGUACAAAGGGCUGCGAUCCCGUGAGGGGGAGCGAAUCCCAAAAAGCCGGUCUCAGUUCGGAUUGGGGUCUGCAACUCGACCCCAUGAAGUCGGAGUCGCUAGUAAUCGCAGAUCAGCAACGCUGCGGUGAAUACGUUCCCGGGUCUUGUACACACCGA